rnacentral:rRNA from 1 species
UACGAAGGGGGCUAGCGUUGUUCGGAAUUAUUGGGCGUAAAGCGCACGUAGGCGGUUAUUUAAGUCAGGGGUGAAAUCCCGCAGCUCAACUGCGGAACUGCCUUUGAUACUGGGUAUCUUGAGUAUGGAAGAGGUGAGUGGAAUUGCGAGUGUAGAGGUGAAAUUCGUAGAUAUUCGCAGGAACACCAGUGGCGAAGGCGGCUCACUGGUCCAUAACUGACGCUGAGGUGCGAAAGCGUGGGGAGCAAACAGG